UCCCUGGUGGCUGAGCUGUAAAGAAUCUACCUGCAAUGCAGGAGACCUGGGUUCAAUCCCUGGCUUGGGAA
rnacentral:tRNA from 1 species